rnacentral:rRNA from 1 species
UACGUAGGGUGCGAGCGUUGUCCGGAAUUACUGGGCGUAAAGAGCUCGUAGGCGGUUUGUCGCGUCGUCCGUGAAAACUUGGGGACUCAACCCCAAGCUUGCGGGCGAUACGGGCAGACUUGAGUACUGCAGGGGAGACUGGAAUUCCUGGUGUAGCGGUGAAAUGCGCAGAUAUCAGGAGGAACACCGGUGGCGAAGGCGGGUCUCUGGGCAGUAACUGACGCUGAGGAGCGAAAGCGUGGGUAGCAAACAGG